CAUUUCCGCCCCAAACCUCCACCCUUCUUGCCCCAAACCUUCAAUGCUCUCGACCAAUAUCUCGACCACUUCUGCUCCAAACCUUGACCACUUAUCCCGAACCUGACCAUUUUUGCCCUAAACCUCGAGGGCUUUUGUCCCAAAUACCGUCUGCUUCCCCAAAUCUCAACCAUUUGCCCCAAAUCCCAACCAUUUGCCCCAGCAUUCAAGUGGUUUUGCCCCAAGUCUCGACUGGUUUUGACCCAAGUCUCAACCAUUUGUUUCAAAUUCAACCAAUUUUGGCCCAAAUGUUGACAUUUGCCACAAACCCUUGACCGGUUUUGCCCCAAACCUCAACCGUUGGCAUCAAACUCUGACCGAUUUUGCCCCAGACCUCCAUGGUUUGCCACAACUCUUGACCUUUGGCCCCAAACCUUGACCAUUUGCACCAAACCUCGACCACUUUUGCCCCAAAAAUGGGACAACUGCUCCAUUCUUGCCCCAAACCUUCAUUGGGUUUGGCCAAUGUCACAGAAUCCCACACUGGUGGGGAGGGGAAGGGACCUCUGGAGAUCACCCGGUCCAAGCCCCGGCCAGAGCAGGGUCACCCAGAGCAGGUGGCACAGGAACGCGUCCGGGCGGGUUGGGAAUGUCUCCGGAGACGGAGACUCCCCCACCUCUCUGGGCAGCCUGUGCCAGGGCUCUGCCACCCCCACAGCAAAGAGGUUCCUCCUCGCCUUGAGGUGGAGCUUCCCACGGUCAAGUUGGUGCCCGUCACCCCUCGUCCUGUCCCCGGGCACCACUGGGAAGAGCCCGGCCCCGUCCUCCUGACACCCCCCCUCUCAGCGUUCGUCAGCGUUGAGAAGAUCCCCCCUCGGACGUCUUCUGUCCACACUGGAGACCCCAUCCCUCAGCCUUUCGCCCUCUCCACCUCCUCGUCCCGCCAUGGGCGUCCACUUGGCUUCCACCUUCCUCCUCCUCCUGGCCGCCCUCCCAGGGCUGAUGGCGGCCGUGCAGAUGGUGGCGUCCGGAGGGGGACAACAGACACCCGGGGGGUCCCUCACCCUCCGCUGCAAGGCCUCUGGCUUCACCUUCAGCAGCUUCAACAUGGAAUGGGUGCGACAGGCCCCCGGGAAGGGGCUGGAGUACGUCGCGCAGAUUAACACUGGUGGUAGCACAUGGUACGCGUCAUCGGUCAAGGGGCGCUUCACCAUCUCCAAGGACAACUCCCAGAGCACGCUCACGCUGCAGAUGAACAGCCUCCGGGACGACGACACGGCCACCUACUACUGCGCGAAAUGUAGUGGUGGUGGUUGUGGUGCUGGUAAUGCUGAUGGUGAUGCUUAUGGUGGUGGCACCAACCCCAGCCCCAUGGAACAACAUCCCUGUCCUGUGUCCCCAAAUCAACCGCUAUUGACCCAAACCUGAAGCAUUUGCCACAAACCUCGACCACUUUUGCCCCAAAUCUCAAGCUUUCGCUCAAAA